AAGGGAAAGGAAGGUUACAGAGGAAAGGAACGAAAGGAAGGGAAGGGAAGGGAAGGGAAAGGAAGGGAAAGGAAGGUUAGUAAGAAAAGAAAGUAAGGGAAAGAAAUGUUAGAGAGGAAAGGAACGAAAGGAAGGGAAGGGAAGGGAAGGGAAGGGAAAGGAAGAGGAGGUAAGGUACAGUAAGGCAGGAACAGGAAGGAAGGAAUGAAGGUAAGACAUGGAAAGGUUAGGUAAGGUUAGGAAGAAGGGAAGGAAAGGGGAGAUGAGGGUAAGGAAAAGGAAGAUAGGGAGUGGGAGGAAAGGUAAAGGAUAGAGUAAGGUAAGGAAAAGGUAAGAAAGAUAAAGGGAAGAAGAAACUAGACAGGGAAGAGAAGAAAGAAGAGAGGAAGCAAGGAGGAAGGGAAAAGGGAAGAUAAGGAAACGAAGGAAAGAGAGAAUAAGGAAAAAGAGUAAGGUAAGUAAAAGGUAAGGUAAGGUAAGGUAAGGUAAGGUAAGUCAAGGGCAGGUAAGGUAAGGUAAGGGGAGGUAAGGUAAGGCAAGGGAAAGUAAGGUUAAGUAAGGUAAGGUCAGGUAAGGUUAGAUAAGGUAAGGUCAGGUAAAGUUAGGUAAGGUAAGGUAAGAUUAGGUAAUUCAAGGGCAGGUAAGGUAAGGUAAGUGGAGGUAAG